rnacentral:rRNA from 1 species
UACAGAGGGUGCAAGCGUUGUUCGGAAUUAUUGGGCGUAAAGCGCGUGUAGGCGGCUUUGCAAGUCGGGUGUGAAAGCCCUCAGCUCAACUGAGGAAGGGCGCCCGAAACUGCAGAGCUUGAGUGCCGGAGAGGGUGGCGGAAUUCCCCAAGUAGAGGUGAAAUUCGUAGAUAUGGGGAGGAACACCGGUGGCGAAGGCGGCCACCUGGACGGUAACUGACGCUGAGACGCGAAAGCGUGGGUAGCAAACAUG